rnacentral:rRNA from 1 species
GACGAACGCUGGCGGCGUGCUUAACACAUGCCAGUCGAACGAAGUGGCGAACGGGUGAGUAACGCGUAAUCAACCUGCCCUUCAGAGGGGGACAACAGUUGGAAACGACUGCUAAUCCCGCAUACUGAAGGAGGGGAUUGCGUCUGAUUGGCUGGGUGGAGGGGUACCGGCCCACCAAGGCGAUGAUCAUGAGCCGGUCUGUGAGGAGGACCGGCCACAUGGGGACUGAGACACGGCCCAGACGCCUACGGGAGGCAGCAGGGGGGAAGCUUCCGCAAUGGACGAAGGUCUGACGGAGCAACGCCGCGUGAGUGAUGACGGCCUUCGGGUUGUAAAGCUCUGUUAAUCGGGACGCGGUACCGGAAUAGAAAGCCACGGCUAACUACGUGCCAGCAGCCGCGGUAAUAC